rnacentral:rRNA from 12 species
UCGGCGGACAUACCAUCCUGAGUCCCGUCUGAUCUCGGAAACUAAGCAGGGUUAGUACUGGUUAGUACUUGGGUGGGAGACCACCUUGGAAGUCCAAGGGCCACUUGAC